UGUGAGAUAGUUCCAAUGCAGAAUACAGAAUACAUCCAUUAUCUCAGAAAGUCCACUGGACAGCCUUGUCUUCUUCAUCUGCUUGCCAAAAGGGAAAGAAAGUGUGGAGGAGGCAGAUUCUCUUCUAAAAAGCCUUGGCCUGGACAUGGAACACAUCACUUCUGCUCACAUUUCAUUGGUGGAAAAUGAGGCAAAAGUGUCACUGUGCCAGUUCUGAGCCUCCGGUUUAAGAAACCUGUGGGUUUCUGCCAUCACAAUGAGAAAAACCUGCUUGGGGCAGCUGGUCCCAGGAAGAGGUUGAUGGACAUAUGGAAGAGUGUUACCAGCUGGCUCCUCUUACACUAGCCAACCCUCAGCAGAUGCAUGUUCUAAAUAAAUGCUUAUUAUUAUA